rnacentral:rRNA from 1 species
AUUGAACGCUGGCGGCAGGCCUAACACAUGCAAGUCGAACGGUAACAGGAAGAAGCUUGCUUCUUUGAUGACGAGUGGCGGACGGGUGAGUAAUGUCUGGGAAACUGCCUGAUGGAGGGGGAUAACUACUGGAAACGGUAGCUAAUACCGCAUAACGUCGCAAGACCAAAGAGGGGGACCUUCGGGCCUCUUGCCAUCGGAUGUGCCCAGAUGGGAUUAGCUAGUAGGUGGGGUAACGGCUCACCUAGGCGACGAUCCCUAGCUGGUCUGAGAGGAUGACCAGCCACACUGGAACUGAGACACGGUCCAGACUCCUACGGGAGGCAGCAGUGGGGAAUAUUGCACAAUGGGCGCAAGCCUGAUGCAGCCAUGCCGCGUGUAUGAAGAAGGCCUUCGGGUUGUAAAGUACUUUCAGCGGGGAGGAAGGGAGUAAAGUUAAUACCUUUGCUCAUUGACGUUACCCGCAGAAGAAGCACCGGCUAACUCCGUG